CAAAGCCCUCCCAGGACCAGGCCCUGGACAAGCUUGUAGAGGAACUACGAGUAGCCCCCUAGAGAAUUUACUCUCUGCCUCAGUAAACACGACCAGGAAGCUCACUCCAUGAAGGACUCUUUCCAGGCCAACGGAGGAGGCUGAGGGCCCAGCUAGACCGUCUGGUCCAGACAACCCAGCAGCCCCAGCAUGGAGAGAGGAGGAGCUCAACUUCAUACACACCUCAAGGUUCCUUUUGAAACCAACGUUCCAAAUCUUUAGCUCUUCCAUCUCUAACACGAGGAAGGAACAGGCUACAUAGCCAAGGCCAGGAGAAUGCCUCGAGCACUGAGCUAAAUGACCGCGCGUCACACAGGACCCCGCAUGAACCGAGAGCUGUGGGUACACAGAACUGCACAUGCCAUCCAGUAGUGUUGCAAAUCAUACCUACUUUGAGAGAACAAAACUGCGAUAUUAAUGAAGAAACG